rnacentral:rRNA from 1 species
GACGGAGGAUGCAAGUGUUAUCCGGAAUCACUGGGCGUAAAGCGUCUGUAGGUGGUUUAAAAAGUCUACUGUUAAAAAUUGAAGCUUAACUUCAAAGAUGCCGUAGAAACUUUUAAACUUGAGGAUGGUAGGGGUAGAGGGAAUUUCCGGUGGAGCGGUGAAAUGCGUAGAGAUACGGAAAGAACACCAACGGCGAAAGCACUCUGCUGGGACCGACACUGACACUGAGAGACGAAAGCUAGGGGAGCGAAUGGG